UACAGAGGUCUCAAGCGUUGUUUCGGAUUCAUUGGGGCGUAAAGGGUGCGUAGGUGGCGCGGUAAGUCGGGUGUGAAAUUUCGGAGCUUAACUCCGAAACUGCAUUCGAUACUGCCGUGCUUGAGGACUGGAGAGGAGACUGGAAAUUUGACGGUGUAGCAGUGAAAUGCGUAGAUAUCGUAAGGAAGACCAGUGGCGAAGGCGGGUCGUCUGGACG
rnacentral:rRNA from 1 species